GUAUGGUUGUGUAUAGAUGAUGUUCAGCACCAAAGAUAGGUCUGUUAACCUGUGUGUGGAUGGCAUUCAGCACCAAGGCCAUGCUUGAUUGUGU
rnacentral:pre_miRNA from 1 species